rnacentral:rRNA from 1 species
UAUGUGAUCGUCUCUUGCAUAUCAAUAAGCGGAGGAAAAGAAACUAACAAGGAUUCCCCUAGUAACGGCGAGUGAAGCGGGAAGAGCUCAAAUUUGAAAUCUUAAAGGGUUUCCCUUUACGAAUUGUAGUUUAAAGAAGUGUUUUCUGUUGAGGUUUUGGUAAAAGUUCUUUGGAAUAGGACAUCAUAGAGGGUGAGAAUCCCGUAUUUGGCCUUUACUUUCAACUUUGUGAUACACUUUCAAAGAGUCGGAUUGUUUGGGAAUGCAGUCCAAAAUGGGUGGUAAAUUUCAUCUAAAGCUAAAUAUUGGCGAGAGACCGAUAGCGAGCAAGUACCGUGAGGGAAAGAUGAAAAGAACUUUGAAAAGAGAGUUAAACAGUACGUGAAAUUGUCAAAAGGGAAGCGUUUGACACCAGUGUUGUUUUUCUGAAAAUCAAUUAAAGAACUGUUUAUGCUAAGCUGUUUAGACUUUAUCAGCUAUCUGUUUAGUUUUGAGCUUUUCUUUAAUGCACUUUUCAGUUAACAAGUCAACAUCAAUUUCUUUUGCUGUAAAAAAGCUUGAGGAAGGUGGCUUGAGAUUCGUCUUAAGUGUUUAUAGCCUCUUGCCUAUGCAGUCGGAGAGAUUGAGGUCUGCAGCGUAGAUCCUUCGGGGCUAAAUGCAUUUGUGCUAAGUUAUAGCAUUUUAUAGACAACUUGUUGACUAUGAUUUGUCUUGUAGCUUACUCGCUUAUGUUAUUUUACCUACGCUUAGGAUGUUGAGCGCAUGUCUCUCUCU